AUUGAACGCUGGCGGCAGGCCUAACACAUGCAAGUCGAACGAGUGGCGGACGGGUGAGUAAUGUCUGGGAAACUGCCCGAUGGAGGGGGAUAACUACUGGAAACGGUAGCUAAUACCGCAUACCAUCGGAUGUGCCCAGAUGGGAUUAGCUUGUAGGUGAGGUAACGGCUCACCUAGGCGACGAUCCCUAGCUGGUCUGAGAGGAUGACCAGCCAAAGGGGAACUGAGAAACGGUCCAGACUCCUACGGGAGGUAGCAGUGGGGAAUAUGGCAAAAUGGGCGGAAGCCUGAGGCAGCCAUGCGGGGUGGAUGAAGAAGGACUGAGGGUUGGAAAGUACUGUCAGCGGAGAGGCGUUACCAGAAGAAGAAGCACCGGCUAACUCCGUGCCAGCAGCCGCGGUAAGAA
rnacentral:rRNA from 1 species